CUCCUCCAUUCCGUUCCGAAUUUCCGCUCACGUUUUCCCAGUUUUCCAGCCCCCUCUCCGCCCCCCGCCCCGCUUUAUUGUUUAGGCCGUUUUUAUUGCGGCGGCAAGAGAGAAGGAAACUCCGGCAAGAAGACCAGCAAAACUGGAGCACAAGGAGGAGCACAAGGAGCAGCAGGAGGAGGAGCUGGAAUCCCCGUACAUAAUAUGAUAUCGGGGGACUGAACGUAUAUAUGUACAUACAUAUGUACUAUACUGUAUGCACCAGGGACGGAACAGCAAUCCGUCCAUUUUGCAUGCAAACGCAAUUUGAUAACGAGCGAACGUAUUAAUAUUAUUGGGCGCCAUUAUUUCACUGCCCGGCACACAGAAUGGCACCCCUCCAAAAGAGCUGCUCAGCCACCCAUGUGCUUUCCCCAAAACCCCCAUCCUGCAACCCCCAUCCUGCAACCCCAAUCCCCAAUCACCGAAAUACCGGGACAAAAAAUGAUGGACAUUUGAAGCUGGCAGGCAAAAGAAGCAAGAAGAAGGCUGAAUCUACUUUGCACGUUUUUCAAGCCAAUUUGUUGCUGCUCUUCUAUAACUAUAAACCAAAAAUGGUGUUAUAUGCCAUAACUAGAUGAUAGAUCCUGAUAGGAUCUAUGAUUCAAAGAAUGAAACAAUAAAAAUAUAUAUUUUCAUACUA